rnacentral:rRNA from 1 species
AUUGAACGCUGGCGGCAGGCUUAACACAUGCAAGUCGAACGCCCCUUUCGGGGGGAGUGGCAGACGGGUGAGUAACGCGUGGGAACGUGCCCUUCAGUUCGGGAUAACCCAGGGAAACUUGGGCUAAUACCGGAUACGUGCGAGAGCAGAAAGAUUUAUCGCUGAAGGAUCGGCCCGCGUCUGAUUAGCUGGUUGGUGAGGUAAUGGCUCACCAAGGCGACGAUCAGUAGCUGGUCUGAGAGGAUGAUCAGCCACAUUGGGACUGAGACACGGCCCAAACUCCUACGGGAGGCAGCAGUGGGGAAUAUUGGACAAUGGGCGCAAGCCUGAUCCAGCCAUGCCGCGUGAGUGAUGAAGGCCUUAGGGUUGUAAAGCUCUUUCGUCCGGGACGAUAAUGACGGUACCGGAAGAAGAAGCCCCGGCUAACUUCGUGCCAGCCGCCGCCGGUAAUAC